rnacentral:rRNA from 1 species
CCUACGGGUGGCAGCAGUGGGGGAUAUUGCACAAUGGGGGCAACCCUGAUGCAGCGACGCCGCGUGAGUGAAGGAGCGUUUCGGCGCGUAAAGCCCUAUCGGCAGGGAAGAAUAUGACGGUACCUCACCAAGAAGCCCCGGCUAACUACGUGCCCGCAGCCGCGGGAAGACGUAGGGGGCAAGCGUUAUCCGGAUUUACUGGGUGUAUAGGGAGCGCAGACGGGAAUGCAAGCCACGAGUGAAAGCCCGCGGCUCAACCCCGGGACUGCACUUGAAACUGAUUGUCUGGAGUACAGGAGGGGCAGGCGGAAUUCCUAGUGUAGCGGUGAAAUGCGUAGAUAUUAGGAGGAACACCAGUGGCGAAGGCGGCCUGCUGGACUGUGACUGACGUUGAGGCCCGAAGGCGUGGGGAGCAAACAGGAUUAGAUACCCUGGUAGUC